UACGAAGGGGGCUAGCGUUGCUCGGAAUCACUGGGCGUAAAGGGUGCGUAGGCGGGUCUUUAAGUCAGGGUGAAAUCCUGGAGCUCAACUCCAGAACUGCCUUUGAUACUGAGGAUCUUGAGUUCGGAGAGGUGAGUGGAACUGCGAGUGUAGAGGUGAAAUUCGUAGAUAUUCGCAAGAACACCAGUGGCGAAGGCGGCUCACUGGCCCGAUACUGACGCUGAGGCACGAAAGCGUGGGGAGCAAACAGG
rnacentral:rRNA from 1 species